GAUCAAGUGUCUUAAGGGCAAUUGGUGGAUGCCUUGGCAUGCACAGGCGAUGAAGGACGUGAUACGCUGCGAUAAGCGUCGGGGAGGUGCGAAUACCCUUUGAUCCGACGAUUUCCGAAUGGGGAAACCCACCUAAGGUACUUGUAAAAUCAGAGCAGUCGCCAGGCGCAAGUUUGGUGGCUGUUGUGGUUUACAAGUAUCGUUAUUAGGUAACUUACCCUGAAUACAU
rnacentral:rRNA from 1 species